rnacentral:rRNA from 1 species
GGGUUGUGAGGUUAAGCGACUAAGCGUACACGGUGGAUGCCCUGGCAGUCAGAGGCGAUGAAGGACGUGCUAAUCUGCGAUAAGCGUCGGUAAGGUGAUAUGAACCGUUAUAACCGGCGAUUUCCGAAUGGGGAAACCCAGUGUGUUUCGACACACUAUCAUUAACUGAAUCCAUAGGUUAAUGAGGCGAACCGGGGGGACUGAAACAUCUAAGUACCCCGAGGAAAAGAAAUCAACCGAGAUUCCCCCAGUAGCGGCGAGCGAACGGGGAGGAGCCCAGAGCCUGAAUCAGCAUGUGUGUUAGUGGAAGCGUCUGGAAAGGCGCGCGAUACAGGGUGACAGCCCCGUACACAAAAGCGCAUGUGCUGUGAGCUCGAUGAGUAGGGCGGGACACGUGGUAUCCUGUCUGAAUAUGGGGGGACCAUCCUC